rfam:Schistosoma curassoni strain Dakar, Senegal genome assembly, scaffold: SCTD_scaffold0004368
ACCGGCUGACGAGUCCCAAAUGGGACGAAACGUACGUCUUGGAU